CAAACCUCAAGCUCGCGCUUGGUGUUGGGCGUCGUCCGCGAGGACGUGCCUGAAACCCGUAGGCAGCGGUGCCCGUCUCCCAGCGUAGUCAAGUUACCCGCUUCGGAGCGCGCGGUGCCGCCCGCCGGACGAACAACCACUUUUUUCUAUG
rnacentral:misc_RNA from 1 species